rnacentral:rRNA from 1 species
AUACGGAGGGUGCAAGCGUUACGCGGAAUCACUGGGCGUAAAGCGCGCGCAGGCGGUCUUUUAAGUUGGAUGUGAAAGCCUACGGCUCAACCGUAGAACUGCAUCCAAAACUAUUAGACUAGAGUGUGGGAGAGGAAGAUGGAAUUAGUUGUGUAGGGGUAAAAUCCGUAGAGAUAACUAGGAAUACCAAAAGCGAAGGCAAUCUUCUGGAACACUACUGACGCUGAGGCGCGAAAGCGUGGGGAGCAAACAGGAUUAGAAACCCCAGUAGUCC